GCAGUGGAGUAGCAUCAUCCAAUCUCACAGCCACAAAUAGCAACCUCUCAGCAAACAUUUCAUUAUUGCUGACAAGUGUACGCUGGCUUGUAAUUGGAGAUAUCCCCUCAUCUAAAAGCCCUCCUUACUUCACCGAUUGCCUUCUCUAAUAUGUGGUGUUUUUUUUUUUUCAUCAUAAACUUCUUCGCGGGGUGCUUUGUGUCUCCCGAUGAUAUCUCUCGCAGUCGUUAAUUUAAAUUUAAAUUUUUUGGUGUGUGAAGUUAAUUAGUCGCGUGUGCCAGUGGCGAGAUGGGCUGAGAUUCCCAGAUUGGAUCUUUUUCACUGUGGCACUCGGCUGAUGCUUUGGCUGAUGUGCGAUACGACGAGGCCUCGCUCUAAUUUUGUAUGAAAGUGAAGCACGUGUAACUAAUUAUCAUUUUGCACCUGCAGCUGCAGAGGAAUCGGAGAACAACACGACGCUCGUUCACUUGAAUCAAAUCGAUUCGAAUAUGAAGAGAAAUCCAGCAAAUGAACAAUGACUUCACAGAGAAGCAGGAACUUUAACUGUCGGGGAGAAGAAGAAGGUUCCUGCAGGACUCUAAUAAAUGUCUCUAUAAGCCAUGCUGUCAAAAUCACGGCUUUAGAUAUCAGUAAAAGAAAAGGACGUUUCAAUUACACCUACAAAACCCUAAAUAUAAUUUAAAUCCUUCAUUAAAGAGAGAGGUCUGAGGUCGUCCACACAGAACGUGAGGUUCUCAAAUAGCUGCUUAAAGCUGAAAAAUAUCAAGGUAUCAAGUUUAAAAUACAUCUUAAAACCCAUUUUUACUUUUUGGCUUUCGACCCAGUAUUUUAUUUUUUUAUAGUUUUAUUGUAUGACUUGUACUUUCAGCAGUAUUUUAUUGUUUUGUUGUAUGUUUUAUUGUUUGUUCUUCGCUCUAUUAUUUAUCUACAUAAUACUAACUUUAUUGUGCCUUGUUCUUUCUCGCCCUAGUUUGUGUCUUUCCUUCCUUUCCUCUCUCUCUGUGUCCUCGUCUUGCAGGUUGCAGGAUCCAGAUCCAGUUUGGAGGCGAUUAUUUACCUCACCUCCCUCUUGUCCCCCCCACAUCUGUCCCCCAUUUUUCCUUUCACCCCAACCGGUCGAGGCAGAUGGCUGCACAUCUUUGAGUCUUUCUUCUUCUGGUCAAAGGAAAAGGUUUUUUCUCUCCACUGAUGCCUAGUGCUUUAUAAAUGAAGCUGGAUGGGAUCGGACGUCUCCCCAGUGGUUUUACAGCGUUACCAUGCAGACAACAGGAGACCUCAGCAGUGCUGUUCCUGCAGCUUCUCCUCUCAGUUCACCUGCUGGUGUAGUACCCUCGGCGUCCAGCAGAUGGCACAGACGCACCAUUCGCGAGGACGCUCUGCGGAGCUGAACGCGGACAAAGAGCCCAAACCACGGGACACGAGGACUUGACAUUUUUAAAAACCAGUGGGACCUGCUGUCUGCUGCUGGAGCUGCACUCUUCACUGUGAAAUUAAGACGACUUCCGCGAGAGCCUGAAGUGUCGCCCUGGUUCGUUUUAAUCAACACAAAAGCAGAGGUCACACACUCUGACCUAUAUGUGUGUGUGCGUGUGUGUGUGCGUGUGUGUGUGUGUGUGUGUGAAAGGCUCUCCAGGCUGCCAACACUCACUGGAUCUACAGGGGGCAUCUGCAAAGUAAAAGAAAUGCCGGGGCUGAGGAGAGUUAAGUGGGGGAAGUGUCAGUAACUUCUCCAAAUACAGCAUAUGGUAAUGAAAAACCACAGCUGGAUGGCUCCGCAGCUUAAAAUAGGAAUCAGUAGCAGUC